AAGUCGGUGGUAAACUUCAUCUAAGACUUAAUAUUGCCACGAGACCGAUAGCAAACAAGUACUGUGAAGGAAAGUUGCAAAGCACUUUGAAGAGAGAGUUAAAGAGGACGUGAAACCGGUAAGGUGGAAACGGAUAGAGUCGGCGUAUCAUUCAAUUAUUCAGUUACAUUAUUUUUAUGUUGUGACCUCUGAGCUCCAGAUUGGGACAGAGGGAAUCAGCAUAAUUUUUUGUGGUGCAUUUACUUGAUUGGUGCUUGGGGAUGUUUGAGGCAGAUUUGUUUCCGUCGUUUUGAGGCCAGCUUGCUGGUACCCAAACGGUGUUAGCAUUUUUUGUCUUGGGCAUUUGAGUAUGGCUCACGUGUAUUUAUUGGACAGAUCUGAGUGUAAGUUACGGUCGCAUGCGACACGUGCUUUUCAAUUAGUUCGGUCCAGUUAAUGCUCUCGUACUCGUUCCCCAUGUAAAAGCCGGUCAUCUAUCCGACCCGUCUUGAAACACGGACCAAGGAGUUUAUCGUGUGCGCAAGUUUUUGGGUGUUAAAAACUUAAAAGCGAAAUGAAAGUAAAUGACUCUUUAGAGUCUGAUGUGCGAUCUUGUAAAAAAGUGUAGCAUGGCCCCAUUCUAACUGUUUACAGUAGGGUGGCGGAAGAGCGUACGCGGUGAGACCCGAAAGAUGGUGAACUAUUCCUGAGCAGGACGAAGCCAGAGGAAACUCUGGUGGAAGUCCGAAGCGGUUCUGACGUGCAAAUCGAUCGUCUGACU
rnacentral:rRNA from 1 species